GACGAACGCUGGCGGCGUGCUUAACACAUGCAAGUCGAACGGAAAGGCCCUGCUUUUGUGGGGUGCUCGAGUGGCGAACGGGUGAGUAACACGUGAGUAACCUGCCCUUGACUUUGGGAUAACUUCAGGAAACUGGGGCUCAUACCGGAUAUGAGCUCCUGCUGCAUGUUGGUGGUUGGAAAGUUUCGGCGGUAGUGGCUGGACUCGCGGCUUAUCAGCUUGUUGGUGGGGUAGUGGCUUACCAGGCCUUUGACGGGUAGCCGGCAUGAGAGGGUGACCGGGGACAUGGGGACUGAGAGACGGCCCAGACGCCUACGGGAGGCAGCAGUGGAGAAUAUUGCACAAUGGGCGGAAGCCUGAUGCAGAAACGUCGGGUGCGGGAUGACGGCCUAUGGGUUGUAAACCGAUUUGGCAUGUGACAAAGCGUGAGUGACGGUAAUGGGUAAAGAAGCAACGGCUAACUACGUG
rnacentral:rRNA from 1 species